GUCCUGAGCAAGACAUUAAACUGCUCACCACCUAAUACCGCAUUACCUGAUCACUGAUGGCUCAACGGUACCUGGUGGACAAGUUAAUACUGUAGCUGCCUUUUGAGCGGGUUUGCUGCAAUCCGAAACGGAGAAAUCUGUUUGGGUUGCGGUUCUUUUCCUGUGCCCGUAGCAGCUGCACC
rnacentral:ncRNA from 1 species